rnacentral:rRNA from 1 species
CAGUCGCCACGGGAAUACGUAGGGCGCGAGCGUUAAUCGGAAUUACUGGGCGUAAAGCGUGCGCAGGCGGUUAUGUAAGACAGGUGUGAAAUCCCCGGGCUUAACCUGGGAACUGCGCUUGUGACUGCACAGCUAGAGUAUGGCAGAGGGGGGUGGAAUUCCACGUGUAGCAGUGAAAUGCGUAGAGAUGUGGAGGAAUACCGAUGGCGAAGGCAGCCCCCUGGGCCAAUACUGACGCUCAUGCACGAAAGCGUGGGGAGCAAACAGGAUUAGAUACCCCUGUAGUCCCUGUCUCUUAUAC